rnacentral:misc_RNA from 1 species
CCUAGCCGCAGAUUUCAGAGCAAGCGCAUGGUGGACGUUUUACUUCGUACCUCCUCGUCGUCGUCUAAUUAAUUACGUAGCGCCAGGCCAGUCGUCUGCCUUUUGCAAGUUGUUUAUUUCAUGUUUAAUUUAUGCUUCUUCUCGAUGUAAAUAUAUCUUACUAGGCCUAUGAUGUCUAAAAAGGUGAAAUUAAUGAAUGGCGCGAUGGAGCCUCCAGUUGACGAUGGUCUAUCGGGAGAGCAGCUGUUUGGAAGCGGCGAUGGUCUCACAUACAAUGACUUUUUGAUUUUACCGGGAUACAUCGAUUUCACUGCAGAUCAAGUGGAUUUGCAAUCUCAGCUAACCAAGGACAUCACCUUGAAGGCUCCAUUGGUCUCUUCUCCCAUGGAUACUGUCACAGAGUCCUCCAUGGCAAUCGCAAUGGCUUUAUGUGGAGGCAUUGGUAUCAUACAUCAUAACUGCACGCCCGAAUUCCAAGCAAAUGAAGUCAGAAAAGUUAAGAAAUAUGAACAAGGUUUCAUCAUGGAUCCUGUUGUGCUUGGUCCUGAUGACACUGUAGGUGAUGUCUUUGGCUCAAAAGCAAGACAUGGCUUUUCAGGAAUCCCGGCUUCUCAAGAUUUGCCACACAAGAUCCUUGGCAUACCAAUCACAGAUACUGGGCGACUAGGUGGUAAACUGCUCGGGAUCGUCACAGCUCGCGAUAUCGACUUCUUGAAACCAGAUAGUUACGUUAAGCCACUCAGUACCGUCAUGACUUCCAGGGAAGACCUGGUGGUUGCUCCGGCCAAUGUAACUCUAAAGCAAGCCAAUGAUCUUCUACAGAAAGCAAAGAAAGGCAAGCUACCCAUUGUAAAUGAGAAGGAUGAACUGGUCUCUCUCAUCUCUCGCACGGAUCUUAAGAAACAUAGGGAGUUCCCUUUGGCCUCCAAAGACUCCAGGAAGCAGCUGCUCUGUGGGGCUGCCAUUGGCACCAGGGAGGAGGACAAUCAAAGACUAGACCUACUAGUCCAGGCUGGUGUAGAUGUAGUCAUACUGAUGGAUGGAGAGCUAGAACAAGAAAAUCAUAAAAGUUUGGACUCUUCACAAGGGAAUUCAAGCUUCCAAGUAAGCAUGAUAAAGGCCACCAAAGCCAAAUAUCCAGAUCUACAGGUGGUAGCUGGCAAUGUUGUGACUGUGGCACAAGCCAAGAAUCUGAUCCAAGCUGGUGCAGAUGCCUUGAGGGUUGGAAUGGGGAGUGGCUCAAUCUGUAUCACGCAAGAAGCACCAGCAGCACAAGCUACUCGUAGUAGGCCUAGUAGGCCGGAGGGUGACUUAACGUCUACCUUAAUGGCCGUUGGACGUCCCCAGGGCACAGCAGUGUAUAGAGUAGCCCAGUAUGCAAGAGGUUGUGGAGUACCUAUCAUUGCUGAUGGAGGCAUCACAACAGUUGGUCACAUCACAAAGGCUCUAUCACUAGGAGCAUCAUCAGUCAUGAUGGGAAGCCUGCUGGCAGGAACCACUGAAGCUCCCGGUGAAUACUUCUUCUCUGAUGGGGUCAGGCUCAAGAAAUACCGUGGUAUGGGAUCACUGGAUGCCAUGGAGAAGAACAAAUCCUCCGCCAAGAGAUAUUUCAGUGAGCGUGACAAGCUGAAGGUAGCCCAGGGUGUAUCAGGAUCCAUCGUUGACAAGGGCUCCAUCCACAAGUUUGUACCGUAUCUCAUAGCCGGAAUCCAACAUGGAUGCCAAGAUAUUGGGGCUCUUAGCCUCAGUAUUCUCAGAGACAAGAUGUAUGCUGGUGAAGUUCGCUUUGAGAGAAGGUCGCCUUCAGCUCAGGUAGAGGGAGGUGUUCACAGUCUUCAUUCGUUUGAGAAGCGUCUGUUUUAAAAGGCAACAACCAAGAGUUCUGCAGCUUCUCACUAUCUUCACAAAGUUUUGGAGGCUGGACGCAUUGCUUUCUGAUUACUGCAUAUGGUGUCUAUGUUACAUGUGAACAAAAUGUGUUUGUUUAUCUCAGCAUGAUAUUGUACUAGCCAAGUCUAUUUUGAUAUAUACUUGUAUGAUAUUAGAGAUUGAUAUCUAACUUUUAUGAUUGUUACAAAGUACCAUGUAAUACAGAAAUGAGUACAGGAGGGUUAAAACUGUAUAAAGUAUUUGCACUAGUCUUAAAUGAAAUUGCUUUGUCUGGGCCAUAGAUAUUAUUUUGCUUGUUGUUUUGUCAAAAGUUCCUAUUGAAUUUCUUUCUGUUAGGAUUGCUCUGUACAAGCCAUGCGUCCUGUACGUUUAUUUUGUUUCAACAUGCCAUAUAUUUUGCCUAAAGAGGUUUCACAAUGUUUUGUGAUAUUGUUUUACUUAAAGAUACAGGGGGGGGGUAUACAUUUCAGUGGCAGUUUUCAAACAGACUUCCUCUCACAUACUGUAAAAAUGAGACCAAUGCAAAAUGACAAUGUAUACAAGGAAGCUGAUGUGUUCUGUGGAUAAAAAUUUAACUGCAUAGGGUGCUUUGCAAAGAGUUUGAUGUAACUUAAAAGGUUUGUUUUAACAACAAGGCAUGAAUGAUAAUGAAUAAUUGAUGACUACACAGUAAUGUGCCUCUGGAGCAUGAUCAGACCAAUGAAGUUAUGUGUUGAUAACUUAAGGUUAAAAUCAAUUUUAAUUCACCCUUGAAAGUUUUGUUCAACUCCCCCAGUUAAGUCUUUUUUAUCUGGCUCGCUCCAACCUUUCAGUCAUCCUGGCCCACUUUCACAAAACUGUUGGCAUCUUGAAAAUCAUGGAAAUUCCAUAGAUGUCCAUAAGGAUAUAUUGACCUGGAUCCAUUGCAUGAUGGGCUAUUUCAAAUGACCCCUGGUUGUAUUUCUUUGAAUAGCCUAUAAAAGUCUCUGAAGACUCCAGUUGAUAUAAAUUACUUGAAAAAGAACAUGCAAAGCUUGUUUCUAGUUGGUGUCUGAAGUAUCCUUUAAUGUAUAUUCACUUAAUCAACAUUUGUUCAACAUUUUUUUUUUGGGGGGGGGUGGGCAUUCUACAUGCUUUGUUAACCUUUGUUUUUAUUCAUUUCAAGUUUGGUGCAUUCAUUUGUAAAACUUCACGUAUGUGGCAUUUCAUAAAUAUGUGUUCCUGUGUUUAGAGAUUUUGUGCUAUGGAAUAGAGGCCAGUGCCUGGUCAGUUGUAUCAGCUCUUUAAUGGUUUUGUAAGAUUAUCAAAUGGAAGAGCUGUAAAUGCACUGUGUCCUUUUUAAACAUUACCAUGAAGUUUAAGUUUAUGCAUGGACUAAAUCUGAUGUAAAUCAUGACCAAAAAAAUCACCAAGUUCUCCUGUAUUAUGAUGGUUGCAUUGAUACAUUUUAGAUAGGGCCAGAGAAAGUAAAAGAUUGAUAUUUUGAUACAUUUGUUUUCUACUAAUAUUUUAUCGCCAAUACUUGAAGUGAUUUAUGUAUCAGUAUGGAGAAAUGAUGUGGCAAGUCAUACAAACAUUGUACACAGUAUUGCUGUUCAAUAUAUUUGUUCAAAGAUUUGAUCAAGCCUUCACAAAAAUGAAAUUGGAAUUGAAAGAAUACAAGAGAUUGCUAUAUUAUAGAGUAUAGUCAUGUUUAUAUUUUAUUCAGUAUGUCAGGGUUUAAAAGAUUUAUAAUUGCUUGCCAUAAGCCAACAUUAAGUGUUGAUAUACAUCAUUAUUGUCCAUUGUCAUAGAGCUAAUAGACAAGCAUUUUGCCCUGUUGUUGCAGGAAGGAGGGGGGUUGAAAUGUUGUGUAUUAUAAUCGAUGUAUCAGAGAUAGAGCCAGAGGAGAGAUGUGCUUUUAGGAGAACUAGAGAUUAUUGACAAGGUUUUCUAGUCCAUUUCAAACUUGAUUUCUUAGCACAAACUCAUUGAUGUUGAGUGGAGAGUUGCUCUGUUCCUUGAUGGCACUUCACACAACAAAGGUCAGUCUGGAAAGCACAAAGUACAGUUUUACUUUUAUUGAUUUCUCUCUUCCCCCUCUCAUCAUGGAAAUAGUUUUUUUUUAUUUCAUGAUUGAAAAAACACAUUGAAAAUGAAUGAAUUUGUAGAUAGGGAAGAAGUAAUCAUUUGUUAAUGUGUAUUAUUGUGUGCUUGUGUGUAUGAGGUGAGGGGUGUGUUAAAAAGAGGAUGUAAUUAUCUUGUGAUAUUGGAUUUUAAGUGAUAUUUGAUUUUUAGACAGAAAUUCAUAAGAGAUUACUGCAGGUAUCAAUCAAGUUAUAUCAACAAAGAUUAGGUUGUGUUUGAGUAUGUAGUUAAUGCAAUUGUACAGAGGAAUUCAUUUAGACUGAAAUCAUUAUAUUACUAUAAAUUUGCACAAGAACAAAUGUAGUAAAUAUGGAUUUGUAUUUGUAUCUUUAUGAUUUUCAUUCCAGAGAGUAUGUUUUUUUGUUGUAAUUUUAGUUUUGGCAAUGUUUAAUACUCUGUAUUAUUGUGCACAGUUUAGGAGCUGCAAUGAAUAAUUGAAUAUUAUGCUUUCAAGGUAGUUAUGAUGAACUUUCUGGCAAGCAUAAGCCCUGUAUAAAUCAUAUUUUGAAGGAAAAAAUAGUUUUGGGCCAAGAAGGUGUAGAAUCCUUUUUUUUUCACAAGUAGUGUAAUUCAUCAGCUUGAUGAUUUUUUUUGGAAAAAGUGAGCUAUUGUGCAUAUUUUUUUAACCACUUUAUGUAGUUUUAUGAUACAUAUUUUGUAUCAUAAUUGAUUUAUUACUCUUAAAGAAGAUGCAACUUGAGAGUUAUCUUAUAGCAGUACUUACCCAAUUAAUAUGAAAGUUGUGUAAUAUGUUGAAAGUAAUGUCACCUAAUCUUUGCAUUUACUGCCAAGUCAACAUUAAAAACUGAUUUGAAUAAUCGGGGAAAAAAAUCUCACCAGCAGGACACUUAAAUUUUCAUCGAAAUCAGAUAUUUAAUGAAACAGUCAUAACAUUUCAAAGUUAGUGCCAGAGUUGAUGGUAUCACCUCCAGCCCCUAUUUUGUAUUUUACAUAUUGCUUACAGGGUAGUACAGUUUUUCCUCCUAUAGUAUGUAGUACAAGGUUUGGUUCCUCAUGAAAAAAAAUCAAAUCAUAAUGGUUUUAAAAUAUGUGUGAUUUUUUAGAAUUUCUCUUGAUCAUCAAAUCUUAAAAAAUUGAGUUUUUUACAUUUCAUACAUUCGAUAGGAUAUGAUGUCAUUGGCUCCUACCCCAUUUGCAUUCUGCCAGAGCAUGCAUAUAACUGUUUACUGAAAAUUUUACAUCAGUUUUGAUUAAUUUUCAAAAUAGGCUUGUCUAUUUUUGCUCUAUUUCAAAUCAAUUUGUUAUAGGGGGGGAGGCAGACCAACUAUGCCUUCUUAAGGGGAAAAAGUAGUAUAAAAAGCGAAGAAACAAAGAGUAUGAACAAAAUGAAGUCUGUAACUUCAUAUUAAUAUUACCCUGUAAUGCAAUAAAAUAACAUCACCUUCAGGUCAUCUUGCCCCCAAUGAAACUGCCCGGUAUUGUCCUCGAUGAAUCCUGGUUGUUUGGGUAGACUUGGCCUUUAAUUUACAUUAGAUCCCAUUUCGUUCACUUCUGUUACUCCUUAUACACCCCUUUUGAAAUUGUGAUCUUUUGAAAAGUACUACAUAAUGAAGAGCUAGCAAUUACGGUUGAGUAGAUUAUUCAUUUGUCAUUCUUGAUAUUAUUGCUUCAUUAACAGUUCAUUUUGAAUGAUCUGAACAUUUAUAUGCAUGUAGUAGAUGUUUUUUUUUUCAACUAUUAUUUCCAAAAUAAACACCUACACUGUUUUGACAGA